rnacentral:rRNA from 1 species
UAGGGAAUCUUCCGCAAUGGGCGAAAGCUUGACGGAGCAACGCCGCGUGAGUGAUGAAGGUCUUCGGAUCGUAAAACUCUGUUGUUAGGGAAGAACAAAUGUGUAAGUAACUAUGCACGUCUUGACGGUACCUAAUCAGAAAGCCACGGCUAACUACGUGCCAGCAGCCGCGGUAAUACGUAGGUGGCAAGCGUUAUCCGGAAUUAUUGGGCGUAAAGCGCGCGUAGGCGGUUUUUUAAGGAUGAUGUGAAAGCCCACGGCUCAACCGUGGAGGGUCAUUGGAAACUGGAAAACUUGAGUGCAGAAGAGGAAAGUGGAAUUCCAUGUGUAGCGGUGAAAUGCGCAGAGAUAUGGAGGAACACCAGUGGCGAAGGCGACUUUCUGGUCUGUAACUGACGCUGAUGUGCGAAAGCGUGGGGAUCAAACAGG